AAAGCAGUUCCUGCCGGGCAGGCUGGGUAGCCGGACUCCCAGCUGCGCCGUCUUCACGGAAGCGGUGCUGAUGCGGGACCUGGGGGACUGCGGUGCUGGGGACUGGCCAGUCCUACCGGGGGCGGGGCUUGUGGAAGACUGGGCGGGAUUUUGAAGACCUAGGUCUUGUGGAUGGUGAACUCACUUGGGGCGGGGAGGGAGGUGGGGCUACCCUGGGGUCUUGGGCAAAGUCCUCGCCUGGCCGGCUUCGCUACCCUUGUGCUUGCGUUGCCCACAAGCUUGUAGUCAGAAGAACUCGCCUGGGAGGGAUCGCUCCUGGGAGAUCCGAACGCGGGAGGGCCUGGAGCGCGGCGGCAGCUGGAUAGCAUUCGGGCCCAUCCGAAUAAGCGCUACUUGAGAGGCUGAGGCAGAAGGAUCGCUUGAGACCAGGAGUUUGAGGGUGCAGUGAACUAUGAUGGCGCCACCACACUCCAGCCUGGGAGACAGAGUGAGACCCUGUCUCUAAAAGAAAAAAGAAAAUUCAAGAUACAGAGCCAGACAGGAGCCUGGAUGGCCAUCUUUCUUCUGAUAGCAAUAAGCUGGAUGCUGGGAUAGAAGCCUGAUACCUCCUCCAACCCUAGUCCUUGGCCUCUAGUUUACUCGCCUGAGGCAAGGGUAGAGUGGAGGAAGAUUUAGGGAAAGCAAGUAGUCCGUUUUAUUGUUACGGACCAGAGAGGUUGGGGGUGCAGAUGAAACCAACAUCUGGUUGGCCGGGCACGGUGGCUCACACCUGUAAUCCCAGCACUUUGGGAGGCCGAGGCGGGCGGAUCAUGAAGUCAGGAGAUCGAGACCAUCCUAGCUAACACGGUGAAACCCCGUCUCUACUAAAAACACAAAAAAUUUGCCGGGCGUGGUGGCGGGAGCCUGUAGUCUCAGUUACUCAGGAGGCUGAGACAGGAGAAUGGCAUGAACCCGGGAGGCAGAGGUUGCAGUGAGCCGAGAUCGCGCCACUGCACUCCAGCCUGGGUGACAGAGCGAGACUCCAUCUCAAAAAAAAUAAAUAAAUAAAAAUAAAAAAAAUAAAAAAUAAAAAAUUCAUUUGCAGGAA
ensembl:lncRNA ZPLD2P zona pellucida like domain containing 2, pseudogene